UACGGGGAGGCAGCAGUGGGGAAUAUUGCACAAUGGGCGCAAGCCUGAUGCAGCCAUGCCGCGUGUAUGAAAAAGGCCUUCGGGUUGUAAAGUACUUUCAGUCGUGAGGAAGGUGUUAAGGUUAAUAACCUUAGCAAUUGACGUUAGCGACAGAAGAAGCACCGGCUAACUCCGUGCCAGCAGCCGCGGUAAUACGGAGGGUGCGAGCGUUAAUCGGAAUUACUGGGCGUAAAGGGCACGCAGGCGGUUAAUUAAGUUGGAUGUGAAAUCCCCGGGCUUAACCUGGGAAUGGCAUUCAAGACUGGUUAGCUAGAGUCUUGUAGAGGGGGUAGAAUUCCAUGUGUAGCGGUGAAAUGCGUAGAGAUGUGGAGGAAUACCGGGUGGCGAAGGCGGCCCCUGGACAAAGACUGACGCUCAUGUGCGAAAGCGUGGGGAGCAAACAGGGAUUAGAUACC
rnacentral:rRNA from 1 species